UAAGGAAUAUUGGUCAAUGGACGCAAGUCUGAACCAGCCAUGCCGCGUGAAGGAUGAAGGUCCUCUGGAUUGUAAACUUCUUUUAUCUGGGACGAAAACGGGAUUUUUAUCUCAAUUGACGGUACCAGAGGAAUAAGCACCGGCUAACUCCGUGCCAGCAGCCGCGGUAAUACGGAGGGUGCGAGCGUUAUCCGGAUUUACUGGGUUUAAAGGGUGCGUAGGUGGGCUUAUAAGUCAGUGGUGAAAUCUCCGAGCUUAACUUGGAAACUGCCGUUGAUACUAUAGGUCUUGAAUUAUCUGGAGGUAAGCGGAAUAUGUCAUGUCGCGGUCAAAUGCUUAGAUAUGACAUAGAACACCAAUUGCGAAGGCAGCUUACUACAUAUAAAUUGACGCUGAGGCACGAAAGCGUGGGGAUCAAACA
rnacentral:rRNA from 1 species